UCAGCACAAACCCCCUCCUCCCUCACCGAUCCACGUGCAUCCCUCCGGAAGCUGCGCGCUCAGUCGAGGAGUACGACCUUCCCCCGCCCAGGAGAGGACCGGUCUUAGGUCAAGGGUAUACGAGUAGCUGCGCUCUUCUGCUAGAACCUCCAAACAAGCUCUCAAGAGAAAUUUUAAAAAUAUUUUGAACAAAAUGAAAAUAAAAAUACAACUUAACAUAGUU
rnacentral:snRNA from 1 species